rnacentral:tRNA from 1 species
UCUCAGGUGGUCUAGAGGUUAGGACUCAGUGCUUUUGCUGCUGUGGCUCAGGUUCAAUCCCUAGUCUGGGAA